GAUGAACGCUGACAGAAUGCUUAACACAUGCAAGUCUUUGGCGAAUCUGUGCUUGCACAGGCUAGCCAAGGCGGACGGGUGAGUAACGCGUAAAGAACUUGCCCUGCAGACAGGGAUAACAGACGGAAACGACUGAUAACACCUGAUACAGUUGCCGGCACGCAUGUGCCUGGCAAUGAAAAGAGAUGCUGCAGGAGAGCUUUGCGUCCUAUUAGCUUGUUGGUGAGGUGACGGCUCACCAAGGCGAUGAUAGGUAGCCGGCCUGAGAGGGUGAACGGCCACAAGGGGACUGAGAUACGGCCCUUACUCCUACGGGAGGCAGCAGUGGGGAAUAUUGGACAAUGGGGGCAACCCUGAUCCAGCAACUCUGUGUGCACGAAGAAGGUUUUCGGAUUGUAAAGUGCUUUCAGCAGGGAAGAAGAAAGUGACGGUACCUGCAGAAGAAGCGACGGCUAAAUACGUG
rnacentral:rRNA from 1 species